rnacentral:rRNA from 1 species
GACGAACGCUGGCGGCGUGCUUAACACAUGCAAGUCGAACGGAAAGGCCCUGCUUUUGUGGGGUGCUCGAUUGGCGAACGGGUGAGUAACACGUGAGUAACCUGCCCUUGACUUUGGGAUAACUUCAGGAAACUGGGGCUAAUACCGGAUAGGAUCUCCUGCUGCAUGGUGGGGGUUGGAGAGUUUCGGCGGUGGGGGCUCGACUCGCGGCUUAUCAGCUUGUUGGUGGGGUAGUUGCAUACCAAGGCUUUGACGGGUAGCCGGCCUGAGAGGGUUACCGGCCACCUUGGGACUGAGAUACGGACCAGAAGCCUACGGGCGGCAGCAGUGGGGAAUCUUGCACAAUGGGCGGAAGCCUGAUGCGGAAACGCCGCGUGCGGGAUGCCGGCCUUCGGGUUGUAAACCGAUUUCGCCUGUGACGAAGCGUGAGUGACGGUAAUGGGUAAAGAAGCACCGGCUAACUACGUG